UACAGAGGUCUCAAGCGUUGUUCGGAUUCAUUGGGCGUAAAGGGUGCGUAGGUGGCGCGCUAAGUCAGGUGUGAAAUUUCGGAGCUUAACUCCGAAACUGCAUUUGAUACUGGCGUGCUUGAGGACUGGAGAGGAGACUGGAAUUCAUGGUGUAGCAGUGAAAUGCGUAGAUAUCGGGAGGAACACCAGUGGCGAAGGCGGUUGCCUGGGGCUUUGCUGACGCUGAUGCGCGAAAGCGUGGGGAGCGAUCCGG
rnacentral:rRNA from 1 species